UAAAUUUUUUCUCAUUUCAGAUUUCAGAAAUUAAAAAGAAUUAUUCUUCAAAUAUUAUUUUUUUUUCAAAUUUCAAAUAUUGAAAAAUUUCAAGAAGUAAUCUUUAAUUGCACAGUAUGGCGCAUUAGAUUUGUAAAAUCUUUGACCACAUUUAUUUAUUUGUUAUGCCGAACCUAACCGUGUAUUUAGAUUUUUAAUUUUGGGUCCAGUUUUCAAAUUGGUCUACAUUAAGGUCCAAAGCGUCCAAAAUUAAACUUUGUUUGAUUUUAACAAAAAUUGAAUAUAUGGGGUUCUUUGAUAUGCUGAAUCUAAACAUGUAUUUCGAUUUUUUGAUUUUUGGCCCAGUUUUCAAGUUGGUCCAAGUUGGGGUCCAAAAUUAAACUUUGUUUGAUUUCAACAAAAAUUGAAUAUAUGAUGUUCUUUGAUAUGCUGAAUCUAACCAUGUAUUUAGAUUUUUUAUUUGUGGACCCCGCUAUCAAAUUGGUUCAUAUUGAGGUCAAAAGGGUCCAAAAUUAAACUUCGUUUGAUUUCAUCAAAAAUUGAAUUAUUGGGGUUCUUUGAUAUGCCAAAUCUAACCAUGUAUUUAGAUUUUUAAUUUUGGGUCCUGUUUUUUAAAUUGGUCUUCAUUAAGGUCCAAAGGGUCCAAAAUUAAACUUAGUUUGAUUUUAACAAAAAUUGAAUUCUUGGGGUUCUUUGAUAUGCUGAAUCUAAACAUGUGUUUAGAAUUUUGAUUAUGGGCCCAGUUUUCAAGUUGGUCCAAGUUGGGGUCCAAAAUUAAACUUUGUUUGAUUUCAACAAAAAUUGAAUAUAUGGGGUUCUUUGAUAUGCUGAAUCUAAACAUGUAUUUAGAUUUUAGAUUUUUGGCCCAGUUUUCAAGUUGGUCCAAAUUGGGGUCCAAAAUUAAACUUUGUUUGAUUUCAACAAAAAUUGAAUAUAUGGGGUUCUUUGAUAUGCUGAACCUAACCAUGUAUU